UAUCAGUGGUAUCAGUAACUUUGACUCUGGCGAUGUUGUUGGUGGCAGAGUAUUUCAGAAACUGCUGAUCAUCUGGGAUUUUCACCCACGCAGAAUGGUGCGAAAAACAACAAAAAUAAAAAACAUCCAGUGAGCGGCAGCUCCGCAGGUGGAAGUGCCUUGUUGAUUAGAGAUGGCAGUGGAGAACGGUCAGAGCUGACAGGAAGUCUAUAGUAGCUUAAAUAGCCACACUUUACAGCUGUGGUGAGCAGAAAAGAAUCUCAGAGCCUUGAGGUGUGAGGUGAGCGACAACAGCAGAAGACCUACAUCAGGUUCGCACUCCUGUCAACCAAGAACAGGAAAUCUCAGGCUCGCUCACCAAAAGUACAGUACAGGAGCAAGAACCCCACCUAGUGGAACUGAAUGUGAAGCUUCUACUAGGAUCAACCUUCAGAUGUAUUCAAUAUUCAAGUCGUCUUCGAAUGGUGGAUUGUGAUACCUUCACCCCUGCCCUGUGGAGGUUGUUGUCUCCUCUUCGGCGUAGCUCAGGAUCAGAUCCCGCUGCCUCCGGCUCAACUUCCUUCCAGGGGAAACCCAGGAAGAAGAAAAAAAAAACGAAAAUACACGCUAUUUUCGUUUUCAAGCAUUCAGGAGUAAACUAAAGAAAACUAAUAUACUUUCAAUCUUUUAGGAUGUCACAUGUUUAGGUUGGAUGUGAUGUGAAUUUGAUUGUGAAUGUGUGUGUGUGCAUGAGUGUAGAAAUGUCUUACUUGGGCA